CCUGGCCGCAGAAGAUUGGUUCAAAGACGCUGACUCGAGAAGCGCUCCGAGAGCGGGAGGGGAUUGGGCGGAGCCGACUGUCAAUCAAAGUGGUCGGAGGCGCGCGCGCGUGCGCUGCGAGGCAGCCGCCGGCAUGGCUGGUACCCGGAGCUCGCCGUAGCCGAGUGUCACUCGCUUGCUCUGCGCUCUACCUUGCGGCGGCCGGUGUGACUAUGGGAGCGAAAGCCGCCUCUUCACUGACCCCCAGAUCGGAUCUGAUCCCUCCCCUCCUCCGUAACUGCGCCUCCGACCCGGGCGAUGUAAACCAGUCUCCCUACCAGCUCGUGCCCAGGCGGGGGGAGAUGGCCGCAGCCUUGCACCUGGGGCAGAAAGUCUGCCGGGGCCUAGUUCAAGGCGCCCCGGGGAGGGUCCGGAUCGCCGAGCUUUAUAAUGCAAGGCGACGCGCGAGCACGGAAACGUGAACUUACCCAUCUGAGCUCCGGCAGCGCAGAUUCCAUCAUUGUCACCUUUACCAGAACAAGGACCCCAAAGACGCGCCAAGCAAAACAAUGAGGCCCGUAGUCGGGAGAGGUUUGCUACCACAUGCAACCUAAACAGCAGCUCCCCUUUUUUUCUUACCAAAGAAAAGGGGGAAGACGGAGGAGAGGGAGAGGAACAAAGCCGUGACGUUUACGGGACAAGUUUCUUGGUCCUUGUCUCCUUUCGCUGUUUCACCUUCUGGCACCUGCUGAGUCUAGGGUUUCUUCCACACCGACGCCCCCUGUUUUUCUUCUCCCACAAACUGGGCUCGGAUCCAGGCCUGUAAAUUUAAUGGGUCCCACCGCCCGCAGGACUUGCAGCGCCACAAAGGGGCGUGAUCCGGGGAUUUAGCGCCUGAAGGGCCUCAAAAAGCAUCUCGUCCAUUCCCUCUUAAUUUUGUAACUGAAGAUAUCAAGGCCUGGGGAGGUUAAAUCACUUACCCGGGUAUUUGGAUCCAAGUCAAGUCCAAAAGCGUUUGCUAGGUUUUCUACUGCGUUUGAAGCGUAUGCUGAGCUCAGGCUGGAAAUCCUCUGCCUUCCUCCGUCUGAUAAUUGUCCAUAUUUAAACCUACAUCUCUUGAAAUCCUUACGUUCCUCUAUCCAACUCAGCCCUCGGAGAAGCAUGAAAGAGAAGUGUAAAAGAUUAAUCCUAAAAGCAUAGUUUGUUAUUUCUUGAUUUAUUUCGUUCCGAUUUCCUCUUCAGGACCCUCACUAGAAAGAGCCAAGAAAAACGAAGAAAAGGGUUAGAUAAAGAGUGAUGUAUUGAUUACCUUCCCCUGGAAAUGUGUGAUACUUGAAAGUAAUAGAAUUAUUUUAGAGUAAAGGCUUAUCCAGAGUAUUCUCUUCUUCACCCCUGAAGCUUAAUUAUCUUUUGUUGGUUCAUAUUCUUAAGCCUAUUCUGUGUUCAUACCGCUUUGGAAUCCUCUUCCCCAGUCAGAAGUAGCGCUGUUUGAGCCAGGGGGUAAGGAGUGUCUGGAGCUUUUGGAGCUUGGCAAUUCACUGUGCAGAAUAAAUCUUGGACCUUUCCUCGGAUGACAACCAGUCUAACAUUGAAAUAAUCAAGAAAACUGAAGAUCAGGAAGGUUAAGCUAUUUCACUAAAGUGACAAAAGUCAGAAAUCAUUUAAACAUUUACUAUAUGCAAGUACUCUGUGUAAGUCCUGGGGACACAAAGAAAGAAAAAACAAUACUCUCAAGAAGCAUAUAUUCCAUUAUUAUUCUGUAAGAAACGAACAGCAGAAUGGUCUCAGAGAGACCUGGAGAGACUUACAUGAAGUGGUGCUAAGUGAACAGGAUGAUUUCAGAGAGGCCUGGAAAGACUUAUAUGAACUGAUGCUAAGGGAAAUAAGCAGAACCAGGAGGUCAUGCAACAACAUGAUUGUACAGUGAUUAAUUCUGAUGGACGUGGCUCUCUUCAACAAUGAGAUGAUUCAGGUCAGUUCCAAUGGUCUUGUGAUGAAGAACACCAUCUUCACCCAGAGAGAGAGAACUGUGGGAAGCGAGUGUAGAUCACAGCAUAGUAUUUUCACCUUUUUAUUGUUGUUUGUUUGCAUUUUGUUUUCUUUCUCAUUUUUCCUUAUUGACAUGAUUUUUCCUUGUGUAGCAUGAUAAUUGUGGAAAUAUGUAUAGAAGAAUUGCAUAUACUUAACCUACAUUAUACUUGCCAUGUAGGGAAGAGGGGAGAGGGACAGGAAGGAAAAAAAACUGGAACACAAGGUUUUGUAAGAGUGACUGUUGAAAAUUAUCCAUGCAUAUAUUUUGAAAAUAAAAGACUUUAAUUUAAAAUUUUUUAAAAAAUAAAAAUAACAUUUUAGAAAUAGAUGUUCCCCUCUCCCCUUCUACCUCCUCUUUCUUUUAGUGUCACACUUUUCUAAAUGCUGUCUGCUCUUUCUAUUUCUUCAUCAUUUACUUAUUUCACAAUUCACCAUGGUAAUGGAAAGAAUAGUGAACUUAAAUUUAGAAGAUAUUUGAUUUCCAAUUCUAGUUCUAACAUGUUACCUCUAUGAUUGUAGGUUUAACUUCUCAGGGCCUCAGUUUCCCCAUCUUUAUAACAGAGAUACUAAUACUUCAACUAUUAACCUUCAUAGAAUUGUCAGGAAGAAAGCUCUAACCAGAUGUACUUAUUAUUCCUUUAUACUUACUAUUACCUUCUGCCCUCACCAUCUGCUCUGACUAAUCUCUCAAAGGUCAUCAAUGAUCUUCUAAAUGUUAUAUCUAAUGAUCUUGACCAGUCCUCAUGCCCAGUUUAUCCUUCAAUAGUGUUUGAAACUUUCCUCCUGGUGUCCUUUUUAUCUUCUUUCUAUAAUGUUCAAUGCCUCCUGCAUUUGUCUACAUAUACUGGCUGAUAAUUUCAAUUAUAACUUUUAAUAAGUGGCUCCCCAAAAGAGGCUUCCAGGUCUGACUUCUCUUCUAAACUACAUGGCUAUCUUGCUAUCACCUCAAGUUCAAGAUUGCUUUGCACACAGUAGGUACGUGCUUAAUAAAUGAAAAUAAAUAUCAUUUUCCCCCAAAAAAAUGCCACCCCAAAUUCUUCCCUAUUCUUAAUCACAGCACCAUCAUUUUUUUUCUCUCAUAAAGACAUGGAAUCUCUCCCUUGUUAUAUAUAUCCAACUAAACAUUUAAAUCCUGUGUUGCUCAAACUCAAAAUAUAAUAACUCAAAAAAAUUAACUCAUUCAUAUAGAUUUAUAUAAGAUUUACAAAGUACUUUUC
ensembl:lncRNA